GCUGCAAAGUUACGUACUAAGAAAAGCAGGAGUACCGUCAAACAAGCACAGAAGAUAAAUUUUUUCGAAGUACGUCUUAUAGAAGUUUUAUGUGGUUAGUUUUUGGACAUAUGGGAAAUAAAAGGUAUCCCUUACCGGCAUGUGCAUAUGACAAAAUAAGACGGCAGUUCCAACCAGCUGACAAUGACGAUUUUGUAGGAUUUGUGGAAGAGGAAAUCUCUUGAAAAUUUUCAACUGUUGUAUUUAGGGUUUGUGGGAUUAACUUCAAAUUAUAACAAAAACUAUAUUUAUAUGUAAUAUGAUUGUUUGAUUAUGUAAUAUGAUUGUUUGAUCUUGUUA